CGCUUGUCCACCAUCCCCGUUAAAUACCUUGGAGAGAGAAAGAGGGAGGGAGACAGAGCGUCUGACACUUGGUAACUAGAGGGUCCAAGCAUGGUAAUGCUGAAGCAGACAACGUACUGUGGAUGUUGAGCGUGCAGACGGCGGUAUGUGUUCUUUCGCCAUGGAAAUCACGUCUUUAACUGCACUGCAGCUUCCUUCUCCUGUACAGAUUCAAACUGCAUUCACUGCGGGCGUGGAGCACCUGCUGCUUCACCUCACAGCACCAGGAUCUCAAGACAGCGAACCUGCACACGUGCUAUGAAGAGGAAACGUGAAUUGCAGAUUUCAUGUAGAGAACUCACUAGCCCCGGGCCUGCCGCUUUUAAGAGAUUGAAGAGCACUUCCCUUCCCUGGUGGAAGCAGACAGGAUGUCUACCCUACAAGAGCACCCUCGCUCUCCAGUCUUCGUCCAUCAAGGCAAGGGGAUAAAAGCAUAGAUAAAGUUUGCACGAGUGUGGGAUGCUGGGUUUUCCCCCAACAAGCUUCAAACAGAUAAACCCGAUAUCAGAAGUUGUGCUAAAUCAAUAGGAAACAGGUGGGAGCAGUAAAAGAGACCGAUGUGUUCGAUUAAACUCCGACAGCUCAGAAAGCGAGCACGGAUGUUCCAAAACGCCUCUGCUUCUGUGUUUCUAAGCACCGUCACCUACGACUGGUUAACUCUUCCCAAUGGGUUCAUUUUCGCCGUCUCUUAUAAUUAAGCAGUGCCCCUUUAAUGCAAAACUAUCAGGUCUCUUACUCUACUUGCAUUACUUGAUUUUCAAAUGGGUAACAGAACUAUGAAACAUUUCCUCCACAAAAGGUUUUCUUUAAUGAGUUGCUGCUGUCAGCUGGCCGUAAGCUCUGUCAAUUAAGGACUGAAAGAGUUCGCUAUUGCGUUGCAUCAAUUUAGUCCUGAAUGAGGAAUGACUUUAGACACCAUGUCAGCUCCAGGAUGGAGGGAGCUGGGCUGAAGUAGUGUGUAGAAUUCUAGCAGGUGAGAAAUGCAGAUAUGACAGUAAUGAAAUUUCAAGAUGCAUGUGUAAUAGCUCUGAUACUGCCUCACUGUCUAAUUGACCAGAACUUUAAAGAACAGAGAACUUAUUUUUCACCGUAGCACUGCGCUGGUUGCGAUCCGCUGCAGAAAUGCCAUUCCUUUAUUUAACCAGACAAGUCAGCGGAGAACAGAUUCUCAUUCACAGGGGUGACCUGGCCAAGAGGCUCUGACUACAGCUACACAGAAGACAAAGCAGGGACAGAAAGAAAAGAACAAUCAAUACAAAAAUGGAAACAACAACACAGGACCCCGCAGUGUUAACGAGCGCAGGCGUCAGGCAUAAGAGUUUCCAUCGGGCCAGAGAGAACACCCUCAGAUGUGAAGGGGGACAGAUUUCAACUCAGUCUGUAUGUCGUUCAAGUCACUGAAAAACGACCUGAACUAAAAUGACCUGUGCCCCCUGUCAGCAGUUACUCUUGGGAGGUAUAAACUGGAAGAUGGGCCAGAUGGGGCUUUCUCGCAGAAGACAUUAACUCUAAAGGCAGGUUUCACUCUAGUAUCAAUCUAGAUCAAUCUAGAUAAAUAAGAUCUAGUAUCAAUCUACCCCCCUGUGUUACAGAAUGAAAUCUACCUUUGCAGUCUAAUCAUUUUCUGAAAAAAGCCUCAAAAGCAUGCUGGCAGAUUGGUUAGUCCUUUUGAAAACUGUGACUCCAAGUGAAGUUACUUGAGGAAAUGCUAACCUGAUAUGCCCAGGCUUAAAAGUUGAGCAAAUAUUUCACUGCAGCUCUAUAAGAAAAAGCACAGUUUUCGUUUUGCCCAUUCUAGAUGAGCAUUUCAUCAGCCUGACAUUAUGACCGGUUCACCAAGUUCAUUCAGAAGUGUUUUAUAAGCCAAACACCUGUUUGAACCACUACUCCCAGGACGAUCCAAUUUGGCCUCCUGCUCAAUCACGGGGAAAACCCCGGAUCUGUGGAACAAGCCGAGAAAACGGCUUCUUCCCCCCCAAGAGCUGGUGCUUCACUCACCUGCAGGGCAAUACAUUCGCAGGGGUUUAUGGCAAAACAGCCCCAGAAUGCCACAAGGGCGGUACAGGAUACCCCCCGAGGCAGAAUGGUGUGGCAGCACUCAACAGGGGGUAUUACAGGCUUGGUUUGGGGCAUUACAGUGUGUGUGGGGGGGGGGGCAUGUUUGGCCAGCGGUUCCUAUGCAAACGGGCCAGCUUCCUCUGUACGGCGCUCAGUCUCCAAGCCCCUCUUGCGACACCAGUGGGGGAAACGUGAUCUCACCCAUCACUUCUCCUUAACAAGAGAAAGCACACCAGCCAGGGCGAAACUGAACUAAUAAGAAAAACGGCUUAUUUCCGAGACAAAGGCACCAUCAUAAAAUAGCCCGGAAGCACAAAUUUAAUUCUGGGAGUCCAUUUUUAUCUGCAAGGAGAAAUUGUGAGUUAGUUGCCAGACUGCCAAUUCUUUAACUCAACUCCACACCUCAGGCCUUUAAACUUCUUCGGCAUCAAACCACCUCUCUAAAACCUGUUGCACUGAAUGCAAUUCACUCCUUACUGGCUGUAAUGCACACACAAGAGAGCUCAAGACCAGCUCUGGCCGAUGUGCAUCUCCACCUCGAACCCUUUACAAGCACCCUGAUCAACACCGACCCGACCUCACACCUGAAGGACGGAGGAAGCGUGGUGAAGUCCAACCCUGCGCGCAACGCGACUCCCCCCCAGACCUCCGGGAGUCCGGUGGAAACUCCUCUCGCACAGAAAACGUCCAAUCGGGACGUCCUGGGCGUGCGACUCGGUGCUGCUCAUUUCUGAUCCGUUUCAAAGACAGCAUGCUCGUCCGCUUAGAAAAAUAAUCCAUCACACAUACAUAUAUACACACACACAGGUCCCCUGCUACAGUGUGCGGUCCAGCGCCAUCGCUACCGGUUUCCCUCCAGCUAAACGCCAGAUUGUAAGUCGGUAAUUCACGAACUUUUCCUCAUUGGUACCAAUCAUCGCACCGCGCACCCCACCUCGCUUUUUUAUACCCGCCACUUCAAUGAAGACACACAGACCACGAUGCACGCUUGUCACACAACCCCCCACCACCACCACCACCACCGUGAAGCCAUACCUGCCACAACUAGGGGUGAUCGGCUUGUUUCCUAGAGGAAGACAUGUCGCGUUACGCCAGCGAAGCCGGCUUUUCACACGCUGCUCGAUUUUCUUUCCCUUCUCUCCCCCCACCACACUUGACAAACGAGCCAUCGGGCUCCUGCCGCGCCGGCGUGAGAUGCCCCCCCCUCCCCUCCCCUCCUCUCCCUCCCCAGGUGAGGCGGCGCGAUCCCGGCUGGCGAGGGUGGGAAACGUGCCGGCCCCAGCCCCGGCCCCAGCGUGGCGCCUCCGCCGCCCCGUCCCGGCCCCCCGUGUGCGUG